GUUGAAUUAUGCUGCCACUUACCAAGAAGAAAAAACCAGCAUAAGAGCAUUAGUUUAAUGGACAUGCCUUGGAUUUACACUGCCAUCCUGAAGGCAGAAUUGUCCCCUGUGGAUGUAGAAGUAUCACAGUAACUCUCCCCAGAGUAUUAGACGAGGAAGGAUGGCAGCAACUCCUGGGAGAGUCUCCCCUGAAUCUACUGCUGUUCUGCAGGACCCACAGAAUCCCAGUUUCAAAAUACGGAGGGGUGCAGAAUUCAUCCACCGGCCUUUGCCAUGUUGUGAAUAUGCACAGUCUGUUUCUUCUGGAAGAACUCCAAGUGACUGAAAGACUUCCUCCUCCUGUGUUGGGUGGCGUAUUGAACAGCAACACUUACACUUAACAUCACAACUCUGAUGUUCUUCCAGAGGAGAUUGCUCAGCCUAGGUAGUGUAUCUGUAACGCAGAGGAGGCGGGAGGAGGAAAGAUGAUCCCAGAAUUUCCCAGACUUCAAGAGCAAAGGAACUCCAUAAUGAAAGAGGUUAUCAUCCAGGAGUUAUACCAAGUUUGCUUUUAAACCCUGCGAUGGGAAGAUGCUAUUCUAUGAACAAAGCCUUCAGGUCCCUCCCCGGGCAGGGGUGGCACGAGGAGAGCAGCGGUGCUGUUUCGGAUCGCAGGAGCACAGGCAACACCGUUGAGCCAAGCCAUGUUGUGAUGGAGAUACCCCUUCCAUCAGCGAGGACCAUACCAGUCUUCUGGGAGAAGGGCUUCUUGCUGCCAUGAAACCACUGUGCUGUGCCCGCGCCAUCCUCUGUUAACUCUUGCAAACCAGCCAGACAAGCUGAAAUUCCAGCAUCGCCGUACCAAGAGGGACGUUUUGGUAAAAUGAAAAGAUUUCGAAAUCUCAACAAGAAAGGCUGUAAAAUUGCCUUGAGUGUUUGAAAUAAUGUAUGUAUGCAUAUAUCUAGGUAUACCUGUAUAACUACAUGAGCCAAACGACUUGCUUUGGCUUGCUUAUCAUUCUAAGACAUAAAACAGGUAAUCUAGCUUUAUUUGACACCUACGAUAAUCAUCCAAGAAAAUGAGAGGCUCUGUAAUGGAGGUCUAUAAACAGGUCUUGCAGGUCAUUCGCACAAGCUGGCUCUGCACGCCAGGGCUCUAUGGAAACGUGGCUAUAAACACUGUGUUGGAUCAAGAGCUUCUCUACUGACAGAAAAGACGAACACUAAAGCUGUACAAAACUGACUAAGGCUCAGAAAAUGAUUCACUCUCUUAAUUAAUUUUCCAUUUUGGUUGGUGGAAUGCCCUUAGGUGGCUGCAGUGGGCUCAGAUUUCUUCUUUCUGGGCAGAGUUCACCUUUGCACAAGGACUGGGAAACUCUCCUCUCCCACCCUCCAUGCACUGAGGAGCCCAGGCAGGACUCUUUAAGGGAAUAUUUUCCUCUACCCGAACCAUUCUGAAUCACACUAAUUUCUUAAGGCACAGUCACAUGUGGCUCAGAGGCUUAUUUAAUUGCCAGCACAGUGGUACGCUGGGAAGCCUGUAGCCUUGCUUUGUUAAGCAAUGCCCAUCCCCAUCUCAUAGAAAGUAUCCCCAAGUGCAUCACUUCAGUCUUCUGUCACGACAGCCCCCAGUAAAAGCAACUGUACAUGUGAGCAGUCCUUCUUGCAAAGGAUGCCGUGUUCUGGUUCAUUUCCCGGUUGCCUUUGUGCUAAAACUCUUCCUUCACUGCGCGAAUCAAGCACUCAUAAAACAAGGCAGAGCUGGCGAGCAGAGUCAGGCAUGCACUCCCUAACCCGUGCAGGAUUCAAAUGCCCGCGGUCUGCCAUCUUGUACCAGUGCAGCUGGAGUAAACUCAUGCUACAACACAAAUGUUCGCAUGCUGCUUUUAUGUCAAGUUUGUGUGGUCAUUGAAGUUCAGUAGAAACAGUUUGCUUGCUUUCUUUUGAGUAAUAACAAAUUGAAGGCUCUGCUCCAGCAGUUUCUUCUAUGAUUUACAAGUACAUCCUUAGGCACAGUUUUCCCACUGAAAUCCUUUACUCUGAUCAGGAGACACGUCGAAAGAGGUGGAAAGAGCCCCCAUGUCACGCCCCAGGACAUCCUAGGGAGGGGAUAGGCAAUCCUGUGCCUUAUCUCUCCCAGCUCUCCCCCUACGAUAUGCUUGGAGAAAUUACUAAGCUGGGGAGAGGAGCUGGAGCAACAUGAGGUAGGUGCGUAGGAGGUUGCCAGUGGGGUUGUUCCAGCUUAUGCUGGGAGUCACCUUGACCCAGCACUACAAAGGAAAUGUAAAACUAAAUUUCUUCUUUCCAUUCCUGCCCCACAAACUGUACAGCAUAAAAUGUAUCACUUUUUUUUUUUUUUUUUCAAAUAGCAUUUGUAUAUGCAUUAUUAAUGUAACUAAAACCCAAACUUUCAAUUUGCCACUCCCUGGACACUUGCACUUAGAAAUGUGUGUUAUAUCAUUGUCUGUUUAGAGAUGGUGUUAAGUUCUAGCUGGAAAAGAAAGGUGUGGUGCUGGGAACUGUAUCUUUCCCAAAAGAAACACUGAAGUCUCUAUUUUUUUUCAGGACAGCAGUGUGUAAGGGUCUCGCCUGAUCUGGGCACAGGGGGAGAGCAGCAUAAUGAGAGGGCAUGGUCUGUUCUACUCUACCAGGCAGCAGCUACAAUUUGGCUGCUUCUGCCGUUGCACCUGCACUAAUCCGUGAUUUGUCUGUUUUCCCCCUUCCAGUAUUUUGCUGAUAAACAUCAGUUUAAAACCCAAAAUGUAGCCCACUAAUAAAUCAUAGUUAUUUGUUCUAUCAAGCUUUCACCUGGCUAAGCCUUAAAUUUCUGCUGCCCUGAGGAAGACUUAGAUUAGGGUGCUCCAUAUGGUAUCAGGGAUGGAAGAAGGUUUAUGGAGCUGGGGUUUUUUAGCAAACCAUCAGAAGCUUUAGGGUUCCACUUUACUCCUGAGGAAAGCUGCUGGCAGAAUAGAUUUCCCUAGUCAGGUUGGCAGAAAAAUUACUGACACCUCUAAGAAGCUAGGUACGGACUGGAGUUUUGGCCCAGUGAGCUUUUUAAAGUCAAGAUUCCCAUGAAAGCCACGUGAAGUCAAUGGAGACAUUUCCACUGAUUUCAAAAGGCUUUGAGUUGUAUCAUAUAUCCCACAGAGUAAAAAUCUCACAGGCUCUUCAAAACCUGACUUAGGUGGAUUUGGACAGUAGGUCUGUGGUAAAGGGGAAGGGGACAACAGCUCCCUUCCUCUCUGAGGAAGACAGAAGGUGCAGAAUAUGCACCUGUUGGCUUAUCUACAGCGUGGUGUGGCCCCAGAGCAGCCAGUGCCCAUUGCAGGGAGCCACAAGGGAUGUGCCACCCGGCCAGCCGUUGUCCCUCAUGACGUCUCACCAACAUUUUCCGUGGGCAGGCUGUGGUGCAGUGGGGUGAUCAGGAGUCACUGACGCUCUGGAGCCUAUCAUGAUCCGUGCAAUGUAGGGGUGGAGGCCGCAGCUUCUUGGGUGUUUGUCUCCCCUCCACCAGAUGGGAAAAUAGCUCUUUUGUGGAAGUCUGAAGGUUGGGAGAUGACCAGCAUUAGCACGCACACCUUGCAGAGGCCUAUGCCUUCAGGCAGGAAUUAGACAAGAGAGUUGAGUUGAAAUGGGAAGAAACUGCUCCUGAAGCACCCUAUGGUGGAGUGUAAGGUUUCAUUUCUAACGUCCAGCACCUGCACUCAACUGCGCUUGGGAGAAGCUGGCUGUUUAACUCUGGGUACUGUCAGCAGGGCCAGGAUUUUGACUCCUGUAAUUAGCAGAUAACAUCAGGACAUCAGUGUGCCAGGCAGCAAAGGGGUCCCUUCUCCAAACAUCUGCCCCCAGCGCCCCACUAGGAGGAGAAAAAUAUGAGCACAGGGAAUUACAGUGACAGCCCCCACGAUCUGGCAUAUGUCACUGCCUCCGAGGCUGAUUUAACUGGGCGGCAGGUAGAAAAGACAAAUAUUCACUUGAGGAGCUGGAGAAAAUGGAGGCAAGGCAAAAUGAGAUAAAACCUAUUAGAGAGAGUGUUUUACAGUGCAAUUCCUUGGGGGUCUGGGAAGGAAGGAGAAAGCUCACCAUAAAUGGAAGAAGUCUUGAACUAUAAUUAAUUUACCUUGUCCAAGUUUUUUACCGCAUUUCUACCGUAUUUCCAUGCAUGAGAAAAAAAAUACACCAAAACUCACACGUUCUGUAUUUUUUAAGUACACAACAGAUAACUGUCUCACAACAGAUUAGCAUUGUAGUAUAUUUGCUCAGUAUAUGUAAGGGCUUGUGAUGGUCUUGGACUUCAGCUUCAGAUGAAAUAAUCAAACUGGACUGAGAGCGUUUAUUGGAAAGACAGUAUGAGAAAAGAUGCUGCUGCUGUCUGAACUACCUGACUCCUGCAAAUUAACAACAUAAAGCAGAGGUGUUCUUGGAAAUCUGUAGGCAAGAUGCUAAGCUCCACUGCUUGCACUUAGCCAAAUGGGUAUCAGGAGCAGUGAAGGCAGCUGCCCUCCCAAAGCUGCUGGUCACUCAAAGUCAAUCUGGGAUGUGACAAUCAACUCAGAGUCUCUCUAGCCCAUAUCUUACCAAAAAGAGGCUGGGAAAUCAGGCUAUAUUUAACAUUUCUAGCACUAGCUGUAGUAGAUUCCAGCUUAGUUACCUGUGUGGGUUCUAUAGGUAAAUGUAUGCCUGUACCAAAUGUAAUUUGUGCUUCUCACAGUGCUGUCAGCAGCAGACAAGACACCAAAAGAUCUGAUCUGCCUGAAGCCAGAGCUCACAUAAUCACUUUUGCUAUGUGGAACUGCAGCAGAUACAAAUGACAGGAUUCCAGUGAAGGUCUGAACUGUCCCCAGGUUCAAGGAUGCUUGGAUCAGGGCCUGGAGUCUGAUAGGAAAUCAAGGCUAAAUUUUGCACUUUCCCCUUUAUAGUGUUGACUAUACAGAAAAAAAAAAGAAAUAUAUGGAAGGAAGCAAAACAUAUAUAUGCACUUCUGCAGUCUGAGAGCUGGUUUCAGUACUGCGUACUUUUAUGUAGAACUCAAUAAAAUGCAUUUGCAAACAUAAUUACAGAUGCAGCAAUGUUCUCUAAUAAUGGAUUAUAUAACGCAUGUUUUGAAAUGCAUUCGUAUCAAGUUCUUGGCAAAUUAUACUACCUACUGUAACCAGGUGUUAUAAAACCAAUUAUGGGUAUAUAGGAAUUACUGACACAAUGUAU